GAUGAACGCUAGCUACAGGCUUAACACAUGCAAGUCGAGGGGUAACAAGAGAAAAGCUUGCUUUUCUUGUUGACGACCGGCGCACGGGUGAGUAACGCGUAUCCAACCUGCCUAUAACUAGGGAAUAACCUUGCGAAAGUAAGACUAAUACCCUAUGAUUUCCUUUGAUGACAUCAGAUUAGGAAUAAAGAUUUAUCGGUUAUAGAUGGGGAUGCGUCUGAUUAGCUUGUUGGCGGGGUAACGGCCCACCAAGGCAACGAUCAGUAGGGGUUCUGAGAGGAAGGUCCCCCACUUGGAACUGAGACACGGUCCAAACUCCUACGGGAGGCAGCAGUGAGGAAUAUUGGUCAAUGGGCGGAAGCCUGAACCAGCCAAGUAGCGUGCAGGAUGACGGCCCAAUGGGUUGUAAACUGCUUUUAUACAGGAAUAAAGUUAGCCACGUGUGGUUAUUUGUAGGUACUGUAUGAAUAAGGACCGGCUAAUUCCGUGCCAGCCGCCGCGGUAA
rnacentral:rRNA from 1 species